AUGGCAUGCGCGGAUUAGUUAGUUGGUAGGGUAACGGCCUAUCAAGGCAUCGAUCCUUAGGGGAACUGAGAGGUUUAUCCCCCACACUGGUACUGAGACACGGACCAGACUCCUACGGGAGGCAGCAGUGAGGAAUAUUGGUCAAUGGUCGGGAGACUGAACCAGCCAAGUCGCGUGAAGGAAGACGGUAUUAUGUAUUGUAAACUUCUUUUACAGGGGAAUAAAAUGCGGGACGCGUCCUGUUUUGUAUGUACCCUGAGAAUAAGCAUCGGCUAACUCCGUGCCAGCAGCCGCGGUAAUACGGAGGAUGCGAGCGUUAUCCGGAUUUAUUGGGUUUAAAGGGUGCGUAGGUGGGAUAUUAAGUCAGCGGUGAAAUCCCGAUGCUCAACAUCGGAACUGCCGUUGAAACUGAUAUUCUUGAGUGUGAACAAGGUAGGCGGAAUUCGUAGUGUAGCGGUGAAAUGCAUAGAUAUUACGAAGAACACCGAUAGCGCAGGCAGCUUACCGGGCCACAACUGACACUGAGGCACGAAAGUGUGGGUAUCAAACAGGAUUAGAUACCCUGGUAGUCCACACAGUAAACGAUGAAUACUAGGUGUUUGCGAUAUACGGCAAGCGCCCGAGAGAAAGCGUUAAGUAUUCCACCUGGGGAGUAC
rnacentral:rRNA from 1 species